AACAUCGCGCACCUGCGGGAACCUGCGGAGGGAUCAUUACCGAGUGUGGUCCCUUAAUAAGGGGCGACUCCCGUCCUUUGCAGGGCCUUUAGGGGCUUUUUGACUUUGCUUCGGCGGGCUUGUCCCGCCGGAACACCCUCAAGAAAAUCUCGAAAAAAAAACCUUUGUCUGAAUUGCUUGCGAAUAAAAACAAAACUUUCAGCAACGGAUCU
rnacentral:misc_RNA from 1 species